UGCAAGUCGAACGGUAAAUAGAAUAGCAAUAUUUUAUGAGAGUGACGUACGGGUGCGUAACACGUAUGCAACCUACCUUGUACAGGAGUAUAGCUCGGGGAAACUCGAAUUAAUCCUUCAUAGUAUGUUUGAGUGGCAUCACUUUGACAUUAAAUCUUCGGAGGUACAAGAUGGGCAUGCGUCUGAUUAGUUAGUUGGCGGGGUAACGGCCCACCAAGACGAUGAUCAGUAGGGGAACUGAGAGGUUGAUCCCCCACACUGGCACUGAGAUACGGGCCAGACUCCUACGGGAGGCAGCAGUAGGGAAUAUUGGUCAAUGGAUGGAAGUCUGAACCAGCCAUGCCGCGUGCAGGAAGAAGGCCUUCUGGGUUGUAAACUGCUUUUGCCGGGGGAUAAAAAGAGCGUGCGCGCUUUAUUGAAGGUACCCGGUGAAUAAGCCACGGCUAACUACGUGCCAGCAGCCGCGGUAAUACGUAGGUGGCAAGCGUUGUCCGGAUUUAUUGGGUUUAAAGGGUGCGUAGGCGGUCUAUUAAGUCAGUGGUGAAAUAUCGCAGCUUAACUGUGAGGGUGCCAAUGAUACUGAUGGACUUGAGUGAAGUCGAAGUAGGCGGAAUUGACGGUGUAGCGGUGAAAUGCUUAGAUAUCGUCAAGAACACCGAUAGUGAAGACAGCUUACUAGGCUUAUACUGACGCUGAGGCACGAAAGUGUGGGGAUCAAACAGGAUUAGAUACCCUGGUAGUCCACACUGUAAACGUUGAUUACUCGCUGUUGGCGAUAUACAGCCAGCGGCUUAGCGCAA
rnacentral:rRNA from 1 species